rnacentral:rRNA from 16 species
GGAUGCCUAGGCUCUCGGAGACGACGAAGGACGUGAUAAGCUGCGAAAAGCUACGGGGAGGUGCAAAUAACCUAUGAUCCGUAGAUGUCCGAAUGGGGCAACCCGCAUGUUUGAAGAACAUGUACCAAUUUAUUGGGGAAAACCCAGGGAACUGAAACAUCUAAGUACCUGGAGGAAAAGAGAACAAUAGUUAUUCCGUUAGUAGUGGCGAGCGAACACGGAGGAGCCCUAAAGUGUUAUAAAAGUGAGUAGAAUCAUUUGGAAA